UACGAAGGGGACUAGCGUUGUUCGGAAUUACUGGGCGUAAAGCGCACGUAGGCGGAUUGCUAAGUCAGGGGUGAAAUCCCGGGGCUCAACCUCGGAACUGCCUUUGAUACUGACAAUCUCGAGUCCGAUAGAGGUGGGUAGAAUUCCUAGUGUAGAGGUGAAAUUCGUAGAUAUUAGGAAGAACACCGGUGGCGAAGGCGGCCCACUGGAUCGGUACUGACGCUGAGGUGCGAAAGCGUGGGGAGCAAACAGG
rnacentral:rRNA from 1 species